UCCGGAGGGAGCUAGCGUUGUUCGGAAUUACUGGGCGUAAAGGGUGCGUAGGCGGGUCUUUAAGUCAGGGGUGAAAUCCUGGAGCUCAACUCCAGAACUGCCUUUGAUACUGAGGAUCUUGAGUUCGGGAGAGGUGAGUGGAACUGCGAGUGUAGAGGUGAAAUUCGUAGAUAUUCGCAAGAACACCAGUGGCGAAGGCGGCUCACUGGCCCGAUACUGACGCUGAGGCACGAAAGCGUGGGGAGCAAACAGGAUUAGAUACCCGAGUAGUCC
rnacentral:rRNA from 1 species